rnacentral:rRNA from 1 species
GACGAACCGUGCGAACGUUGUUCGGAUUCACUGGGCUUAAAGGGCGCGUAGGCGGACGGUCAAGUCAGGGGUGAAAUCUUUCAGCUCAACUGGAAAAGUGCCUUUGAUACUGAUCGUCUCGAGGGAGGUAGGGGCAUGUGGAACUUCCGGUGGAGCGGUGAAAUGCGUAGAUAUCGGAAGGAACGCCGGUGGCGAAAGCGACGUGCUGGACCUCUUCUGACGCUGAGGCGCGAAAGCUAGGGGGAGCAAACGGG